CCUUCGGGUCUAGUGGCGCACGGGUGAGUAACACGUGGGAACGUGCCCUUUGGUUCGGAACAACUCAGGGAAACUUGAGCUAAUACCGAAUGUGCCCUUCGGGGGAAAGAUUUAUCGCCAUUGGAGCGGCCCGCGUCUGAUUAGCUAGUUGGUGGGGUAAAGGCCCACCAAGGCUACGAUCAGUAGCUGGUCUGAGAGGAUGAUCAGCCACACUGGGACUGAGACACGGCCCAG
rnacentral:rRNA from 1 species